GAUUAAGUUAUUAAGGGCGCACGGUGGAUGCCUUGGCACUAGAAGCCGAUGAAGGACGUUACUAACGACGAUAUGCUUUGGGGAGCUGUAAGUAAGCUUUGAUCCAGAGAUUUCCGAAUGGGGAAACCCAGCAUGAGUUAUGUCAUGUUAUCGAUAUGUGAAUACAUAGCAUAUCAGAAGGCACACCCGGAGAACUGAAACAUCUUAGUACCCGGAGGAAGAGAAAGAAAAUUCGAUUCCCUUAGUAGCGGCGAGCGAAACGGGAAGAGCCCAAACCAACAAGCUUGCUUGUUGGGGUUGUAGGACACUCUAUACGGAGUUACAAAGGACGACAUUAGACGAAUCAUCUGGAAAGAUGAAUCAAAGAAGGUAAUAAUCCUGUAGUCGAAAAUGUUGUCUCUCUUGAGUGGAUCCUGAGUACGACGGAGCACGUGAAAUUCCGUUGGAAUCUGGGAGGACCAUCUCCUAAGGCUAAAUACUCUCUAGUGACCGAUAGUGAACCAGUACCGUGAGGGAAAGGUGAAAAGCACCCCGGAAGGGGAGUGAAAUAGAACCUGAAACCGUGUGCUUACAAGUAGUCAGAGCCCGUUAAUGGGUGAUGGCGUGCCUUUUGUAGAAUGAACCGGCGAGUUACGAUUUGAUGCAAGGUUAAGCAGUAAAUGUGGAGCCGUAGCGAAAGCGAGUCUGAAUAGGGCGUUUAGUAUUUGGUCGUAGACCCGAAACCAGGUGAUCUACCCUUGGUCAGGUUGAAGUUCAGGUAACACUGAAUGGAGGACCGAACCGACUUACGUUGAAAAGUGAGCGGAUGAACUGAGGGUAGCGGAGAAAUUCCAAUCGAACCUGGAGAUAGCUGGUUCUCUCCGAAAUAGCUUUAGGGCUAGCCUCAAGUGAUGAUUAUUGGAGGUAGAGCACUGUUUGGACGAGGGGCCCCUCUCGGGUUACCGAAUUCAGACAAACUCCGAAUGCCAAUUAAUUUAACUUGGGAGUCAGAACAUGGGUGAUAAGGUCCGUGUUCGAAAGGGAAACAGCCCAGACCACCAGCUAAGGUCCCAAAAUAUAUGUUAAGUGGAAAAGGAUGUGGCGUUGCCCAGACAACUAGGAUGUUGGCUUAGAAGCAGCCAUCAUUUAAAGAGUGCGUAAUAGCUCACUAGUCGAGUGACACUGCGCCGAAAAUGUACCGGGGCUAAACAUAUUACCGAAGCUGUGGAUUGUCCUUUGGACAAUGGUAGGAGAGCGUUCUAAGGGCGUUGAAGCAUGAUCGUAAGGACAUGUGGAGCGCUUAGAAGUGAGAAUGCCGGUGUGAGUAGCGAAAGACGGGUGAGAAUCCCGUCCACCGAUUGACUAAGGUUUCCAGAGGAAGGCUCGUCCGCUCUGGGUUAGUCGGGUCCUAAGCUGAGGCCGACAGGCGUAGGCGAUGGAUAACAGGUUGAUAUUCCUGUACCACCUAUAAUCGUUUUAAUCGAUGGGGGGACGCAGUAGGAUAGGCGAAGCGUGCGAUUGGAUUGCACGUCUAAGCAGUAAGGCUGAGUAUUAGGCAAAUCCGGUACUCGUUAAGGCUGAGCUGUGAUGGGGAGAAGACAUUGUGUCUUCGAGUCGUUGAUUUCACACUGCCGAGAAAAGCCUCUAGAUAGAAAAUAGGUGCCCGUACCGCAAACCGACACAGGUAGUCAAGAUGAGAAUUCUAAGGUGAGCGAGCGAACUCUCGUUAAGGAACUCGGCAAAAUGACCCCGUAACUUCGGGAGAAGGGGUGCUCUUUAGGGUUAACGCCCAGAAGAGCCGCAGUGAAUAGGCCCAAGCGACUGUUUAUCAAAAACACAGGUCUCUGCUAAACCGUAAGGUGAUGUAUAGGGGCUGACGCCUGCCCGGUGCUGGAAGGUUAAGAGGAGUGGUUAGCUUCUGCGAAGCUACGAAUCGAAGCCCCAGUAAACGGCGGCCGUAACUAUAACGGUCCUAAGGUAGCGAAAUUCCUUGUCGGGUAAGUUCCGACCCGCACGAAAGGCGUAACGAUUUGGGCACUGUCUCAACGAGAGACUCGGUGAAAUCAUAGUACCUGUGAAGAUGCAGGUUACCCGCGACAGGACGGAAAGACCCCGUGGAGCUUUACUGUAGCCUGAUAUUGAAAUUCGGCACAGCUUGUACAGGAUAGGUAGGAGCCUUUGAAACGUGAGCGCUAGCUUACGUGGAGGCGCUGGUGGGAUACUACCCUAGCUGUGUUGGCUUUCUAACCCGCACCACUUAUCGUGGUGGGAGACAGUGUCAGGCGGGCAGUUUGACUGGGGCGGUCGCCUCCUAAAAGGUAACGGAGGCGCUCAAAGGUUCCCUCAGAAUGGUUGGAAAUCAUUCAUAGAGUGUAAAGGCAUAAGGGAGCUUGACUGCGAGACCUACAAGUCGAGCAGGGUCGAAAGACGGACUUAGUGAUCCGGUGGUUCCGCAUGGAAGGGCCAUCGCUCAACGGAUAAAAGCUACCCCGGGGAUAACAGGCUUAUCUCCCCCAAGAGUUCACAUCGACGGGGAGGUUUGGCACCUCGAUGUCGGCUCAUCGCAUCCUGGGGCUGUAGUCGGUCCCAAGGGUUGGGCUGUUCGCCCAUUAAAGCGGUACGCGAGCUGGGUUCAGAACGUCGUGAGACAGUUCGGUCCCUAUCCGUCGUGGGCGUAGGAAAUUUGAGAGGAGCUGUCCUUAGUACGAGAGGACCGGGAUGGACAUACCUCUGGUGUACCAGUUGUCGUGCCAACGGCAUAGCUGGGUAGCUAUGUGUGGACGGGAUAAGUGCUGAAAGCAUCUAAGCAUGAAGCCCCCCUCAAGAUGAGAUUUCCCAACUUCGGUUAUAAGAUCCCUCAAAGAUGAUGAGGUUAAUAGGUUCGAGGUGGAAGCAUGGUGACAUGUGGAGCUGACGAAUACUAAUCGAUCGAAGACUUAAUCAA
rnacentral:rRNA from 1 species